rnacentral:rRNA from 1 species
UACGGAGGAUCCAAGCGUUAUCCGGAAUUACUGGGCGUAAAGAGUUGCGUAGGUGGCAGAGUAAGCGAAUAGUGAAAGCGUGUGGCUCAACCAUACAUCCAUUAUUUGAACUGCUCAGCUAGAGGACGAGAGAGGUAGAUGGAAUUCCUGAAGUAGGGGUAAUAUCCGUAGAUAUCAGGAGGAACACCGAUGGCGUAAGCAGUCUACUGGCUCGUUCCUGACACUCAGGCACGAAAGCGUGGGGAGCAAACGGG